rnacentral:rRNA from 1 species
UACAGAGGUCUCAAGCGUUGUUCGGAUUCAUUGGGCGUAAAGGGUGCGUAGGCGGCGAGGCAAGUCUGGUGUGAAAUCCCGGGGCUCAACCCCGGAACUGCACUGGAUACUGCUUUGCUAGAGUACUGGAGAGGGAACUGGAAUUUCCGGUGUAGCAGUGAAAUGCGUAGAUAUCGUAAGGAAGACCAGCGGCGAAGGCGAGUUCCUGGACAGUUACUGACGCUGAGGCACGAAGGCCAGGGGAGCAAACGGG